UCGGGAAUUUUGGGCAAUGGGCGAAAGCCUGACCCAGCAACGCCGCGUGAAGGAUGAAGUAUUUCGGUAUGUAAACUUCGUAAGAAUGGGAAGAAUAAAUGACGGUACCAUUUGUAAGGUCCGGCUAACUACGUGCCAGCAGCCGCGGUAAUACGUAGGGACCAAGCGUUGGUCGGAUUUACUGGGCGUAAAGGGAGCGUAGGCGGCGCGUCAAGUCAGCUGUGAAAUCUUAAGGCUUAACCUUAAGCGGUCAGCUGAUACUGUCGUGCUAGAGUGCAGAAAGGGCAAUCGGAAUUCUUGGUGUAGCGGUGAAAUGCGUAGAUAUCAAGAGGAACACCUGAGGCGAAGGCGGGUUGCUAGGCUGACACUGACGCUGAGGCUCGAAAGCUAGGGGAGCAA
rnacentral:rRNA from 1 species